UACGUAGGUGGCAAGCGUUGUCCGGAUUUACUGGGCGUAAAGGAUGCGUAGGCGGACAUUUAAGUCAGAUGUGAAAUACCCGAGCUUAACUUGGGUGCUGCAUUUGAAACUGGGUGUCUAGAGUGCAGGAGAGGUAAGUGGAAUUCCUAGUGUAGCGGUGAAAUGCGUAGAUAUUCGGAAGAACACCAGUGGCGAAGGCGACUUACUGGACACAUAUUGACGCUGAGGUGCGAAAGCGUGGGGAGCAAACAGG
rnacentral:rRNA from 1 species